AGCGGGAGGUGAAUCGGUGCUUCGAUCACGCCUAUAAAAUCUUCAGAAAACAUGGGGAAAAUGAUUUGAAGAUGUUCAAAUGUGAAAUUGUUAGAUCAAAUAUGGUGGCUUAAGUGGCAGUUAUUUUUAUAAUGUUUUGUUCAAAAUCAAAGAGGAUGAAUUAAGAUAGAAGUGGAUGAAUUAGAAAAUCAAGCCAUGAAAAUGGCUUAUGCGAUUGAGAUAGAAGUGUAUGAAUUGAAAAAUCAAGCCAUAAAAAUGGCUUAUGCGACCGCAUAAGCCUUUAAGGCUUACAAUCGCAUAUGGAUUUUCAGAGAAUUAGAGGAUGGCCAAAGCUAUAACUAU
rnacentral:lncRNA from 1 species